AUUUGACGUUACCUACAGAAGAAGCACCGGCUAACUCCGUGCCAGCAGCCGCGGUAAUACGGAGGGUGCGAGCGUUAAUCGGAAUUACUGGGCGUAAAGCGCAUGCAGGCGGCCUGUUAAGUCAGAUGUGAAAGCCCGGGGCUUAACCUCGGAAUUGCAUUUGUAAACUGGCAGGCUAGAGUCUUGUAGAGGGGGUAGGAAUUUCAGGUGUAGCGGUGAAAUGCGUAGAGAUCUGAAGGAAUACCAGUGGCGAAGGCGGCCCCCUCGGACAAAGACUGACGCUCAGAUGCGAAAGCGUGGGGAGCAAACAGGAUUAGAUACCCUGGUAG
rnacentral:rRNA from 1 species